AGAGUUUGAUCAUGGCUCAGAUUGAACGCUGGCGGCAGGCCUAACACAUGCAAGUCGAGCGGCAGCACGGGUACUUGUGCCUGGUGGCGAGCGGCGGACGGGUGAGUAAUACCUAGGAAUCUGCCUGGUAGUGGGGGAUAACGUUCGGAAACGGACGCUAAUACCGCAUACGUCCUACGGGAGAAAGCAGGGGACCUUCGGGCCUUGCGCUAUCAGAUGAGCCUAGGUCGGAUUAGCUAGUUGGUGAGGUAAUGGCUCACCAAGGCUACGAUCCGUAACUGGUCUGAGAGGAUGAUCAGUCACACUGGAACUGAGACACGGUCCAGACUCCUACGGGAGGCAGCAGUGGGGAAUAUUGGACAAUGGGCGAAAGCCUGAUCCAGCCAUGCCGCGUGUGUGAAGAAGGUCUUCGGAUUGUAAAGCACUUUAAGUUGGGAGGAAGGGCCGUUACCUAAUACGUGAUGGUUUUGACGUUACCGACAGAAUAAGCACCGGCUAACUCUGUGCCAGCAGCCGCGGUAAUACAGAGGGUGCAAGCGUUAAUCGGAAUUACUGGGCGUAAAGCGCGCGUAGGUGGUUCGUUAAGUUGGAUGUGAAAUCCCCGGGCUCAACCUGGGAACUGCAUUCAAAACUGUCGAGCUAGAGUAUGGUAGAGGGUGGUGGAAUUUCCUGUGUAGCGGUGAAAUGCGUAGAUAUAGGAAGGAACACCAGUGGCGAAGGCGACCACCUGGACUGAUACUGACACUGAGGUGCGAAAGCGUGGGGAGCAAACAGGAUUAGAUACCCUAGUAGUCC
rnacentral:rRNA from 1 species